GACGAACGCUGGCGGCGUGCUUAACACAUGCAAGUCGAACGAUGAACCAGGGCUUGCCCUGGGGAUUAGUGGCGAACGGGUGAGUAACACGUGGGCAACCUGCCCCAGACACCGGGAUAACCUCUCGAAAGAGUGGCUAAUACCGGAUAUGACCACUUUGGGCAUCCAACGGUGGUGGAAAGGAUUCUGGUCUGGGAUGGGCCCGCGGCCUAUCAGCUUGUUGGUGGGGUAAUGGCCUACCGAGGCGACGACGGGUAGCCGGCCUGAGAGGGCGACCGGCCACACUGGGACUGAGACACGGCCCAGACUCCUACGGGAGGCAGCAGUGGGGAAUAUUGCGCAAUGGGCGAAAGCCUGACGCAGCGACGCCGCGUGAGGGACGAAGGUCUUCGGAUUGUAAACCUCUUUCAGCAGGGACGAAGCGAAAGUGACUGUACCUGCAGAAGAAGCACCGGCUAACUACGUGCCAGCCGCCGCCGUAAAAC
rnacentral:rRNA from 1 species